UGAGACCAUUGCUCCUUGUUCUGUCAUCUGCCACCACUGAGAACACUCCAGGUCCAUCCUCUUUAGAACCAGCCUUCAGUGGUGGGUCUAGCCUUCAACCCACUGACCAACAAAGUGGAAGCAGUCACUCCAGGUAUGUAACAGAAAGAUUCCAGACUAGGAACAAUGAAGUGAAUCUCAAGGCAUUCUAGUGAUCCUAUAUGCCUUAGUUACUGCAUCUGUUUUGACCAGUGAAUUUUACAGAUUAAACUUUUCUCUUAUUUGAGGUGCUUUUGCAAUUACUAUUCAAGAGUUUAUAGCUGUUAGUUUUCAGUCAGAUGAGUGAACCUUUGGUUUGGAAACUGUUCUGUCAGGAGGUGGUCUGGGUCCAGAUCUUGCUUUGGUCAUGCUUCUUCUGUGACCCGGGGCAAGUCAUUGCCUUCAUUUGCCCAUCUUUGAAAUGGCAGCUACCUCUAAGGAAAUUUGUGAACAUAUGUGAAAGAUCUCACUCAUAUGCUCUCAAAAAAUGUAGCACUCUAGACAGCCUGGAGGGAAAACUCCUGACUCCUUCAAAAGUCACCCUGAACCUAGUGGUUAACAAACACACUAAAUUCUGUAGCCAGCAGCACACAAGGGAAUGGUGGGGCCACUGUUACAUCCAGGCUCUUUUGACUCCCUGGCCUGAACAACUAGUCAACCAACAGCUGGGGUUGCCUUCUCUGCAAGUCUGGAGCCCUAAUGAGAUGCCUCAGCCACUCUGCCCCUGUGGCGCUCAGACAGCAUGGAACCACAUCUUGAAACCCCAGCAGGGUUGAUUCAGGCUUCUGUUCUGCUGAGGUUGGCAAACAAGGCAGUUUAUCAUGUCCUCAUCUUCAAGGCAAGACCUCCAAAACCUCAGUUGUCUGUUUGUCACAGGUGCCUAAGUACCUAUGGAAAGCUUUUUGGAAGAGGAGGGGUUUGCCCCAGUGGCCUGAGACCAGCUUUCUCCUUAUCCCCUAGUGCUGUGCAGUGUGCAGACUGCUCAGCUGUUGUUCACCCCUGGAGAGCUCCAGUAGUCUGAAAUGAACCCCAUGCUUGACUCUACCUGACCUGGAAGGGCAUGUUUUAUCAAGCUCACACCUGGGCAAGCACAGUCCACCAUCCUGUUUGGAAUCCCCUGCAGUUCAUAUGCUAGAAUGGAGAGAUUUACAUUUUCAAAUGUGCUUGGCCCUAAACAGAAACCCCACAUACCUUCCUCUCCUGGCUUCCCAGUGGACCAGCCCAAAUCAGCCAAGCUCAAGGAAGGAGCAAGAAAAUGUUGGGGAAUGGGUGUGCACCCAUAUAUCUUUGUUAGUGGUGAUGCGCUGUUCAAUGAUAGCCACAAUUCAGAAACAUGAAAUAGCUCCUGCCUCUUUUAGUCAGUUGGAUUUGCCUCUGUCACAAGAACUGAUAUAGUGGACACCUGCUUCCACCUGUUUCACUUUUUACAUCUUGUUCAUAUCUGCAGAUCAACGUGUAACUUCCAGCCACUAGCACCUUCCUUUUGAAUUUGGCUUUUAGAGGUCAAGGAUAGGCUUAUUGUAACCCACACUGUGGAGGUUCACAGCAGCCUAAUGGGAUAGGUAACUAAACAGAAAACAUAAGGAAGUGACCAAGUAUGUCACCUCCUACUUUAAAUAGGCAUCAUUUCCAGGUUGCAGGAACUAUAGGAGGUUGUAAUUGAAUUUCCCUUUUGAGUCAGGCUCAAUUAUACUAACUUACUGUGUGUAAGUUCAACUACUGUAUGUGUCCCCUCUGGAUUUGUUCUGUAGCAUCUCUAGCUGUGUGAGGAUAAACUUUAACCUCCUCACACUAGUUUGCACUCUGUGCUUUGAAAGUUUCCUGUAAAGUAUAGUAUUAAUACCAUGUUUACUCAAAUAUAA